GAUGAACGCUGGCGGCGUGCCUAAUACAUGCAAGUCGAGCGAACGGACGAGAAGCUUGCUUCUCUGAUGUUAGCGGCGGACGGGUGAGUAACACGUGGAUAACCUACCUAUAAGACUGGGAUAACUUCGGGAAACCGGAGCUAAUACCGGAGAAUAUUUUGAACCGCAUGGUUCAAAAGUGAAAGACGGUCUUGGUGUCACUAAUAGCUGGAUCUGCGCUGCAUUAGCUGGUUGGUAAGGUAACGGCUUACCAAGGCAACGAUGCAUAGCCGACCGCAGAGGGUGAUAGGCGACACGGGAGCUGGGCCGCGGUCCAGGCUCCUACGGGAGGCAGCAGUAGGGAAUGGUACGCAAUGGGCGAAAGCCUGACGGAGCGACGCCGCGUGAGAGAUGACGGCGCUGCGAUCGGAAAACUCUGUUAUUAGGUAAGAACAUAUGUGUAAGUAACCGAGGAGAGAGUGACGGUACCGAGUCAGAAAGCCACGGCUAACUACGUG
rnacentral:rRNA from 1 species